GACGUAGGGCGCGAGCGUUGUCCGGAUUUAUUGGGCGUAAAGAGCUCGUAGGCGGCUUGUCGCGUCGACUGUGAAAUCCCGCGGCUCAACUGCGGGUCUGCAGUCGAUACGGGCAGGCUAGAGUUCGGUAGGGGAGACUGGAAUUCCUGGUGUAGCGGUGAAAUGCGCAGAUAUCAGGAGGAACACCGGUGGCGAAGGCGGUUCUCUGGGCAUUACCUGACGCUGAGGAGCGAAAGUGUGAGGAGCGAACAGG
rnacentral:rRNA from 1 species